rnacentral:pre_miRNA from 1 species
AAUAAAAUCAUUUUUCGGUUUUUUAUAUAAUAUUUUGACUCUUCGUCUUAUUUGAAUUUUUUUACGAUUAAUAUUUUUAUUUUUACUAGAUGAUAAAACAUGAAUAAUACUUUAUGCGUGACUAAUUUUUUAAAUUUUUUUAUAAAUUUUUCAAAUAAGACAAAUGGUUAAAAGUGGAACACGGAAAACAAAAAAUAAAGUUAUU